CGGAACUGAGGGUAGGGGAGGCGUGUCGGAGCGCGUGCGACGCGUUCAGGAAGCCCGAGUACUGCUGCAGCGGCGCGUACGCGAGCCCGGCCACCUGCCGGCCGACGGCGUACUCGCAAGUCUUCAAGGCGGCGUGCCCCAAGUCGUACAGCUACGCCUUCGACGACCCGACCAGUACCUUCACCUGCACCGGUGGGGCGGAUUACACCAUCACCUUCUGCCCGGACUCCGUCCCAAGGUAUACCAUUACAAUUCAUCUGUGCAUGUUUGACGACAGUUCAAGAUCUGGUCUUCUUCCUGCAUUUGUUCUUGCUCUAAAUUGUCAUAUUGUUCUCCAA
rnacentral:lncRNA from 1 species